GAUGAACGCUAGCUACAGGCUUAACACAUGCAAGUCGAGGGGUAACGAGAAGAAAGCUUGCUUUCCUUGUCGACGACCGGCGUACGGGUGAGUAACGCGUAUCCAACCUGCCCCCAACUAGGGAAUAACCUUGCGAAAGUAAGACUAAUACCCUAUAAUAUCCUCAGAUGCCAUCUGACGAGGAAUAAAGAUUUAUCGGUUGUGGAUGGGGAUGCGUCUGAUUAGCUUGUUGGCGGGGUAACGGCCCACCAAGGCAACGAUCAGUAGGGGUUCUGAGAGGAAGUUCCCCCACAUUGGAACUGAGACACGGUCCAAACUCCUACGGGAGGCAGCAGUGAGGAAUAUUGGUCAAUGGGCGGAAGCCUGAACCAGCCAAGUAGCGUGCAGGAUGACGGCCCUAUGGGUUGUAAACUGCUUUUAUACAGGAAUAAAGUUAGCCACGUGUGGUUAUUUGUAGGUACUGUAUGAAUAAGGACCGGCUAAUUCCGUGCCAGCCGCCGCAGUAAUAC
rnacentral:rRNA from 1 species